UUGACCGUCAAUGGGUAGACUCAAACAAGCUUACCCCAUUUCUUUUCAUUCACUCCCAGAUCGAUAUUAAGGAGGGGAAGAGGAGGGGAAAUUUUUGAGAUCGACAACAGUUCAGAUCUAACACUUGGGCUUAGCAUUACGGCUUAGACGGAACGAAAAAAUAAUUACAGAUGAAAACUCCCAGGCAAAUCAAAGCGAUAACUUCACAACUAGAAGUUUUAGAUGAAUUGAAAGAGCACUUGGAAUGCCUUAUUGCAGACGUGAACACAACUUCGACCUGCAUUCUAAUUCAGCUGAACAUUCUGAUGAAGCGAAAAUCCCAGUUCUGAACACAAAUAACUGCAGCUCCAGAGGUAGAUCAAUUAGUUAUUCAAUUUAUAUUUUACAACCAAAGCUCGAUCUUAUAUGCAAACUAUGUUUACCAAGUUUAUAUCAACUCACUGUCUGUCUGGUAAAACUUUGGUACUCGUUAUUUCUUC
rnacentral:sRNA from 1 species